rnacentral:misc_RNA from 1 species
UUAAGUUCAGCGGGUAUUCCUACCUAAUCCGAGGUCAACCACUAGAAAAUAGGGGGUUUAACGGCUGGUGACCAGGCUACUGCAAAAGCGAGAAGAAAUUACUACGCUGAGAGUACACCUGAACUCCGCCACUGUCUUUAGGGAACUACAGGGUAGCCAGUAGAGUCCCAACGCGAAGCAACUAGGGCUUCAGGGUCGAA